CCAAGGAGUCUAACAUGUGCGCGAGUCGUAGGGUGCUCGCUAUACAAAUCGAACCCAAAACCCGAAGGCGUAAUGAAAGUGAAGGUCGGCCGACCACACCGACCUAGGCGGGAUCCUUCCGAGCGUCGUCGCGGUCUCCGGACCGCGGGAGCUCGGGGGCGCACCGCCGGCCCGUCUCGACCGCUUCUUGUCGGCGAGGCGGAGCAAGAGCGCACACGUUGGGACCCGAAAGAUGGUGAACUAUGCUCGGGCAGGACGAAGCCAGAGGAAACUCUGGUGGAGGUCCGUAGCGAUUCUGACGUGCAAAUCGAUCGUCGGACCCGAGUAUAGGGGCGAAAGACUAAUCGAACCGUCUA
rnacentral:rRNA from 1 species